rnacentral:rRNA from 1 species
UCGAACGCACUUUCGUUAAUUGAUUUUGAGAUGCUUGCAUCGAAGAUGAUUUUAACUAUAAAGUGAGUGGCGAACGGGUGAGUAACACGUGGGUAACCUGCCCAGAAGUGGGGGAUAACACCUGGAAACAGAUGCUAAUACCGCAUAACAAAAUUAACCGCAUGGUUGAUUUUUAAAAGAUGGCUUCGGCUAUCACUUCUGGAUGGACCCGCGGCGUAUUAGCUAGUUGGUGAGAUAAAGGCUCACCAAGGCAGUGAUACGUAGCCGACCUGAGAGGGUAAUCGGCCACAUUGGGACUGAGACACGGCCCAGACUCCUACGGGAGGCAGCAGUAGGGAAUCUUCCACAAUGGACGCAAGUCUGAUGGAGCAACGCCGCGUGAGUGAUGAAGGCUUUCGGGUCGUAAAACUCUGUUGUUGGAGAAGAACGUGUGUGAGAGUAACUGCUCAUGCAGUGACGGUAUCCAACCAGAAAGCCACGGCUAACUACGUGCCAGCAGCCGCGGUAAUACGUAGGUGGCAAGCGUUAUCCGGAUUUAUUGGGCGUAAAGCGAGCGCAGGCGGUCUUUUAAGUCUAAUGUGAAAGCCUUCGGCUUAACCGAAGAAGUGCAUUGGAAACUGGGAGACUUGAGUGCAGAAGAGGAGAGUGGAACUCCAUGUGUAGCGGUGAAAUGCGUAGAUAUAUGGAAGAACACCAGUGGCGAAGGCGGCUCUCUGGUCUGCAACUGACGCUGAGGCUCGAAAGCAUGGGUAGCGAACAGGAUUAGAUACCCUGGUAGUCCAUGCCGUAAACGAUGAAUGCUAAGUGUUGGAGGGUUUCCGCCCUUCAGUGCUGCAGCUAACGCAUUAAGCAUUCCGCCUGGGGAGUACGACCGCAAGGUUGAAACUCAAAAGAAUUGACGGGGGCCCGCACAAGCGGUGGAGCAUGUGGUUUAAUUCGAAGCUACCCGAAGAACCUUACCAGGUCUUGACAUCUUCUGCUAACCUAAGAGAUUAGGCGUUCCCUUCGGGGACGGAAUGACAGGUGGUGCAUGGUUGUCCUCACCUCCUGUCGUGAGAUGUUGGGUUAAUUCCCGCAA